AGGUAGAGAGGAGGGGUUUGC
rnacentral:miRNA from 1 species